rnacentral:lncRNA from 1 species
GUGGAGAGGUACUCCUGGCAUUUUCUCAUGGGCGCUGCUGUGAGAAUAUGUGCCAGGCUGCUAGGUUUUGUAGUCCUGCAUGAAGCCACACAGCUUGACAGCUCUGCAAAAUUAACCCCUGAGGAAACACACUCAAAGUCUCCAUUGCCUAUUUAAUCCUAGGAUUGGCCCUCAGUUCUGGCUCCUUAGUUCUCUGUCAACCAGGACAUUAAAAGCAUUUCUGGUCUCCCUCUACCAACAGAAGGUCCACAUCACCCUGGGCCAAGCGUGGGCAGAGGAGGAAGGGCGUUGUGGCCUGAUAGAGUAUGGUCCCACUUGCUCCAGGUUGAACACAUGGGGAAGGGAGAAUAGGAAGCACGUCCUUGGCUUGGCUUGGGUGCAAGACAUGUUGCUUCUUACUCUCAUAAGGCCGACUGCCGCUUUGGCUCAGCUGCCGUCAACAACAAGCGAUUUUGCUGCGCGUUCGGGUGGUAGCCCCAGUGGUUCAGCCAGGCUUGUGUUGUUGUGGCGGGGUUUGUGUGUUGAAAGCCUCUUCGUGCUCAAAGCCAGCCCAGGAAGGCCCCCUUCUGCGUGCUGGUGGGCUGCCCAUACCGGCAAGCUACAGGGACUUGUUUCCUGAGUUGGUUUUGCCCUUGUAGGGGAGUCUUGCCUCAGGCAAUGUUUCCGACAUUUUCCUGGCCACCGUGAUGCAAAGACUCUGUCCCUGGGAUUGCCUCUUCACCAUUGAGAAAGGGAGCCAUUCUUGAGGCUUCAUCUUUCUUGGCCAUUCUGGAAAUUGAGCACACCAAGGCCCAAACUUUUUUUAUGUAAGGUUUUCUGUUUGUCUGAUAGCUUUGCCGUUCUCUUUAGGCUGCAAACGAAAUGAGUCUUGUACAGUAACGUUGAGAUGAGCACACACAGUAAAUUUUUCCUCACGAAAAUCUUUUUUUUUAAAAAAAAAUAUUACUACAAUAUAAUCUUUAAAGAAAGCAAUGGAUGUGUUCUUGUGUCAUCACCAAAGUUCUCGUUCCAAAAAGAAGGAAAGAGUGCUCAGGUUUGUCCUCACAGAUCACAGUUUCUCCUGAACGUAAUAUGUUGAUCUAUACAUUAUUGCCAUGUCCCUUGUUUCUGAAAUAAACAUUCUGACAGGGAGGGUGGAGUGGAACCAUCGUGUGGUGACCAUUUUGACAUCCACAUUCUCUACCUAUCCUUCCGCGUGCUUUAGAAGUGUUUUUUAUCUUGUUGAACUGUUACGUGCUUUAACACCAAAAGCUUUCCUCCCAUGAUAUUUAUUUUAUUUCUAUGCCACUUUUCAGGCACGCCUCGUGAAGUGGUUUACGUAGAAAUAUUGGAAGAAUAGAGAUUAAGUAAAACCAUGUAUUAAAACUGCGGAGCCAAGCGAGAAGGCUAUGUGUGUGUGUGGUGGGAACUCUUUGAAAAGCAGAAUUCUCCUCCCCUCAGGGAAAGAUGGUCCCAGAGUAGCCUUGUGGUGAUGGUUGGGGCAAGGAGAAGCCACCUCAGCUGAGUCGCUGGAAGGUGAAGAGUUGGCAACUCAUUCAAGCAAUUCUUCUGUUUUCUCUUUACCCUUCUUCCCUCAGCGCAAGAUGCCCCAACCCCUGUGGUGUUUUUUAGGAGAGAGGGAGGCCGCCUCAGGUGGAAGCUCUGCAGCUCAGCCGCAGAACAUUUGCCCUGCAAGCAGAGCAAAUUUGGGGUCAAUCCCUGGCAUCUUCUCAUAGCGUUGGGAGAGACAACCAUCUGAAAGCCUCGAGAGCCUCUUCUGGUGCAUGUAGACAAUAUUGCGCCAGGUGGACCCAGUGGUCUGGCUUGCUUUGAACACUAGUAGUUUUCCAGCCUAACUCUAUGGUCCUCAACAUGGUGCCCAUGGGCAUUUUGGUGUCCUUCGUUGCUGGCCAACAAGGCUCCCCUGCUUCUUUCUGCAAAGCGUGUUCUCCUUCAUGGAGAGCACAUGUUGCGGUGGGGUCUAGCAAGUCAUCCCUCUGUUGCUGGGCGGGUAAGAUUAGAUGGCCACGUUUGCGAUUGGGCUCCUCUAUGUUGUUGGGGAGAUUUUAAUGUUGCUAUUCCUGAUUGACAGCCUAUUAGCUUUAUAUUCCCUGCACGCAGCGUUGAGCUUCCUCUUUUCGCUCCCCUGCUGCUUUCUGAAAAUUUUUUAUUUUUUAAAUUUAUUUGGGGCUUUGUUUAUUGUUGCUUUUUUUGGGGUGGGGGGAGAUUCCUUUAAUUUUUUUGGCGUGUGUGAUUGCUUUUUUAUUGCCUGUGUUUUUUUUGUUAUAGGAGGAGGUUUAUUUUUAGGGUGUUCCGAGCACUGCCAGUUUUUCUUUUGCAAAAUAGGUAUUUUGUGGAGCCCACAGCAGUUUGUUAGGUUUCCAAAUGUGCCCCUGGAACCCAAAAGGCGUUUCUUCUGAGUCCUGUGACUAUACAGUAUUUGUAAGACCAAUCCUGUAUAUUCAGCUCUUCCAAAAGACCCAUUGCAUGCAGAGGAUCCUACAAAGUCUGGGUUGGGGUGGAAGGAACAAGAAGAUAUCCUAAACUGUAUAGCAUAAAGUAAUAGGACGGCAUUCAGGCUUAUUCACAAAGGCCUAUUUAAGAAAAAAGCCCUUGAAGCAAUUCUUGCAAAAUGUUACCUUUAUUGUUAAUACAUUUUUUUCAAGUGUGUGUGUGUGUGUGAGAGAGAGAGAGAGAGAGAGAGAGCAACAACCCUAUCAGGUAGGUCAGUUAUUGUUUCCAUUUUGCAGAAGAAGACACUGAGGCUGACUUGGAUAGGGCUGCUUAAUUAGUCCAUAGAAACAGUUGACACUAUCCAUUGGAUCAAAUCAGUUAAUGGCUCCGAAGGCAAUCGUAACAGGCUGUUAUUGUUCUUAGCACAAUGCUGAUGGGUAUUCUUUGAAGAUACAUUCAGGAAAGCCACAUCAGACCUGCCUGUUAUUUUGCUCUGCAGACAGACUCGGUUGCAAAACAUAUUUAAAUCAUUUGAGGAGAGACAAGCAGGGUGGGGAAUAUAAAUAUAUAUAAAUGGCCUCGGUCCUGUAUACUUGAAGGAGUGUCUCUUCCCCCAUCGUUCAGCCCGGACUCUGAGAUCCAGCGCUGAGGGCCUUUUGGUGGUUCCCU